UACGUAGGGUGCAAGCGUUGUCCGGAAUUAUUGGGCGUAAAGAGCUUGUAGGCGGUUUGUCGCGUCUGCUGUGAAAUUUCGGGGCUCAACCCCGAACUUGCAGUGGGUACGGGCAGACUAGAGUGUGGUAGGGGAGACUGGAAUUCCUGGUGUAGCGGUGGAAUGCGCAGAUAUCAGGAGGAACACCAAUAGCGAAGGCAGCUCGCUGGGACGUAACUGACACUGAGGCGCGAAAGCGUGGGGAGCGAACAGG
rnacentral:rRNA from 1 species